rnacentral:misc_RNA from 1 species
UCAUCUCCUCCCUCUAUUCAUAGAAUCGAGUAGAGUUUUUGGUUUAAGCCUUAAUACCAAAUGCACUGAACUGGGUUUCCUUUAUAUUCCAUCGCAAGUACUUCCAUAUCGAGAUUCCAGACAGAAGGCCUUUUUGUGGGAAUUACUUAUGUAGGGAAUGCAGUGGCAAAAGGAGCUGUUUGUUUGGAUGGAAGCCCCCCAGCUUACCAUUUAGAUGAGGGGUUUGGUACAGGCAUUAAUAGUUGGUUGGUUCACUUUGAGGGAGGAGGAUGGUGCAACAAUGUAACAACUUGCCUGGCCCGCAAGAAUACCCGUUUAGGUUCAUCUAAGCAAAUGGUCACACAACUUGCUUUCUCUGGGAUUUUGAGCAACAGGCGACAAUUUAAUCCAGAUUUCUACAACUGGAAUAGAGUUAAGAUCAGAUACUGUGAUGGGGCG